rnacentral:rRNA from 1 species
UACGAAGGGGGCUAGCGUUGUUCGGAAUCACUGGGCGUAAAGCGCAUGCAGGCGGAUCGAUAAGUCGGGGGGGAAAGCCCGAGGCUCAACCUCGGAACUGCCUUCGAUACUGUCGAUCUUGAGUCCGGGAGAGGUGAGUGGAACUCCGAGUGUAGAGGUGAAAUUCGUAGAUAUUCGCAAGAACACCAGUGGCGAAGGCGGCUCACUGGCCCGAUACUGACGCUGAGGCACGAAAGCGUGGGGAGCAAACAGG